rnacentral:rRNA from 1 species
UACGUAGGGGGCUAGCGUUGCUCGGAAUUACUGGGCGUAAAGCGCACGUAGGCGGCUUGGUAUGUCGGGUGUGAAAUCCCCGGGCUCAACCUGGGAACUGCAUCCGAAACUGCCUUGCUAGAGUAUGGGAGAGGGAAGUGGAAUUUCCGGUGUAGCGGUGAAAUGCGUAGAUAUCGGAAGGAACAUCAGUGGCGAAGGCGACUUCCUGGACCAAUACUGACGCUCAGGUGCGAAAGCGUGGGGAGCAAACAGG